UACGAAGGGGGCUAGCGUUGCUCGGAAUCACUGGGCGUAAAGUGCACGUAGGCGGAUCUUUAAGUCCGGGGUGAAAUCCCAAGGCUCAACCUUGGAACUGCCUUUGAUACUGGGGAUCUCGAGUCCGGAAGAGGUUGGUGGAACUCCGAGUGUAGAGGUGAAAUUCGUAGAUAUUCGGAAGAACACCAGUGGCGAAGGCGGCCAACUGGGCCGGCACUGACGCUGAGGUGCGAAAGCGUGGGGAGCAAACAGG
rnacentral:rRNA from 1 species